GAUGAACGCUGGCGGCGUGCUUAACACAUGCAAGUCGAACGGAAAGGCCCAAGCUUGCUUGGGUACUCGAGUGGCGAACGGGUGAGUAACACGUGGGUGAUCUGCCCUGCACUUCGGGAUAAGCCUGGGAAACUGGGUCUAAUACCGGAUAGGACGAUGGUUUGGAUGCCAUUGUGGAAAGUUUUUUCGGUGUGGGAUGAGCUCGCGGCCUAUCAGCUUGUUGGUGGGGUAAUGGCCUACCAAGGCGUCGACGGGUAGCCGGCCUGAGAGGGUGUACGGCCACAUUGGGACUGAGAUACGGCCCAGACUCCUACGGGAGGCAGCAGUGGGGAAUAUUGCACAAUGGGCGCAAGCCUGAUGCAGCGACGCCGCGUGGGGGAUGACGGCAUUCGGGUUGUAAACUCCUUUCGCUAGGGACGAAGCGUUUUUGUGACGGUACCUGGAGAGGAAGCACCGGCUAACUACGUG
rnacentral:rRNA from 1 species